AACGAACGCUGGCGGCAUGCCUAAUACAUGCAAGUCGAACGAGAUCUUCGGGUCUAGUGGCGCACGGGUGCGUAACGCGUGGGAAUCUGCCCUCAGGUUCGGAAUAACCAUUGGAAACGAUGGCUAAUACCGGAUGAUGACGUUAAGUCCAAAGAUUUAUCGCCUGAGGAUGAGCCCGCGUAGGAUUAGCUAGUUGGUGUGGUAAAGGCGCACCAAGGCGACGAUCCUUAGCUGGUCUGAGAGGAUGAUCAGCCACACUGGGACUGAGACACGGCCCAGACUCCUACGGGAGGCAGCAGUGGGGAAUAUUGGACAAUGGGCGAAAGCCUGAUCCAGCAAUGCCGCGUGAGUGAUGAAGGCCUUAGGGUUGUAAAGCUCUUUUACCCGGGAUGAUAAUGACAGUACCGGGAGAAUAAGCUCCGGCUAACUCCGUG
rnacentral:rRNA from 1 species